rnacentral:rRNA from 1 species
AUUGAACGCUGGCGGCAGGCCUAACACAUGCACGUCGAACGAUUGGCGGACGGGUGAGUAAUGUCUGGGAAACUGCCUGCUGGAGGGGGAUAACUACUGGAAACGGUAGCUAAUACCGCAUACCAUCAGAUGUGCCCAGAUGGGAUUAGCUUUUUGGUGGGGUAACGGAUCACCAAGGCGACUAUCCCUAGCUGGUCUGAGAGGAUGACCAGCCACAAUGGAACUGAGACACGGUCCAGACUCCUACGGGAGGCAGCAGUGGGGAAUAUUGCACAAUGGGCGAAAGCAUGAUGUAGCCAUGCCGCGUGUAUGAAGAAGGCAUUCGGGUUGUAAAGUACUGUCAGCGGGGAGGCGUUACCCGCAGAAGAAGCACCGGCUAACUCCGUGCCAGCAGCCGCGGUAAUAC